GACGAACGCUGGCGGCGUGCUUAACACAUGCAAGUCGAACGGAAAGGCCCUGCUUUUGUGGGGUGCUCGAGUGGCGAACGGGUGAGUAACACGUGAGUAACCUGCCCUUGACUUUGGGAUAACUUCAGGAAACUGGGGCUAAUACCGGAUAGGAGCUCCUGCUGCAUGGUGGGGGUUGGAAAGUUUCGGCGGUUGGGGAUGGACUCGCGGCUUAUCAGCUUGUUGGUGGGGUAGUGGCUUACCAAGGCUUUGACGGGUAGCCGGCCUGAGAGGGUGGCCGGCCACAUGGGGACUGAGAUACGGCCCAGACUCCUACGGGAGGCAGCAGUGGGGAAUAUUGCACAAUGGGCGGAAGCCUGAUGCAGAAACGCCGCGUGCGGGAUGACGGCCUUCGGGUGGUAAACCGCUUUCGCCUGUGACGAAGCGUGAGUGACGGUAAUGGGUAAAGAAGCACCGGCUAACUACGU
rnacentral:rRNA from 1 species